AACUGUUACAUCUUAUGUCCUGGUCAACACUGAACUGUUACAUCUGAUGUCCUGGUCAACACUGAACUGUUACAUCUGAUGUCCUGGUCAACACUGAACUGUUACAUCUGAUGUCCUGGUCAAUACUAACUGUUACAUCUGAUGUCCUGGUCAACACUGCCUGUUACAUCUGAUGUCCUGGUCAAUACUGCCUG
rnacentral:lncRNA from 13 species